UUCCUUUAUUUUGUUCCUCUUACUUGGUUACUUGGGAGAUACCUAUGUUCCUGCCUACUUCUCAGAAACUAUCCCUGCAAUAGAAACAACAUCCCAGCACCUGAGUUUGGACUUGAUGCACUUAACCAGCUUUCUUAGCACAAACAGAUGGCGGCCAUCUUAAUAUAGUGUCAUCCCCCUACACCACUGAUCUCAUCUGACCCUUUCUCUUAAGGAUUUGUGUUCCUCUGUAAGACUGGAAUAUUGUCUCAGACGACUAAUGCUCCCGGGACUGUGUUGUUGGUUUAGGAAUGACUUUCUUUGUAAGAACGUUGGGGACCACUGGGAAGUGCAGGCAAAUUUCAACAAAAAAUAAAACAAAUAUUGAAAAAAUGAAUUGAGAUCAAUUUAGUCAGUCUUUGGACUAAGUGGUUCUGGCAGACAGCAUCUAGCCUCCAGAGGAGCCCUAGUGGGCAACCACUGCAUUGCACAUCGGCGAUCCUUGAUAAGCAUAUUGUAGGCUACUAAAUUAUUUUCAAUUACAUAUCCGUUAGCAUUUCUUUUGACCCAAAUGAAAUGUGCUCAGUAUGGUUGGACUAGAUUCAAUAUUAAAAUGGAGUACCACCAGAUUUAGUAUUAAUAUGUGAUGCAUAAUUUGUUCUAAAGCAAACAUGAAUAUAUUCCAGAGGAAUCUUCCAGUCGCUAUGCCUCGGAGGGGUAAUGAUCCUGCUGUCUCUGCCUCUGCAGAGAGCUGCUAUGGUGCCAUUAGAGAUGCAGCACAAAAGCUAAUAGCACACAUGGGUGCUUAGCCUAGCAUGCCCGUCCCUCCUAGCAUGCCUGUCUGGCUCCUAGCAUGCCCCUCUCCCUCCUAGCGUGCCCGUCGCCCAUAGGUUUUAGCCUUCUCCUAGCAUGCCCGUCGCCCAUAGGUUUUAGCCUUCUCCUAGCAUGCCCGUCGCCCAUAGGUUUUAGCCUCCCUCCUAGCGUGCCCGUCUCCCAUGCUCGAGUCCAGCUAGUCCAGAGUGGAACUGUGCCUGUCUCACUCCAGGCUAAACUAGCAUGACACUCUCUCCCAUUGUAAAUCAAAUCAAACUUAUUUAUACGGCGCAUUUCAUACCAAAGGGCAACACAACGCGCUUCUAGGUCUACUGACUCUGUGGAAGUUCCUCUGAAAUGUGGAAGCUUGUGUCAUAACACUCUUGAAUGGCCUCUGGAGGCAUUGGCUCUUACCUGCUAGUUGACAUUUGUAAAUAAGUAGCCAGCACUAAGCUACCUUAACUUAAAUUUCAUACUUUGCUUGAUAAUGGUGAAACAUGAUUAAGCCAUGUUUUGCUUAUUGAUCAAUAAAAGAAAAAAAAACAGUAGUCAAAAGUAGAGGUGCCUGAUGAACAUAGUGGGGCAGCCAAACUGCAAAUGCAGAGUUGUGUCCUUCAUCCACAUAGUACGCACAGAAAAAAGUUGCACAUAGUAGUUUAGAUAACUGUGUCAUAAAAUAUACGCUUGUAAAAUAAAAUGAGACCUUUGUUAGAUUGUCACAAAUUAUUAUGAGGCAAAUGUUUAGACUUUUAAAUGGGACAUAAUUAACAUUUUUUUUUAUGUUUAGUAGUGAUACCUUCCCAUUUUUACAUUGUAGAUGCUUUAUAACAUUAUUAUUGACCCAAACUGCUGUGUAUGAAAUGUACCAACCCUUAAGGUGCCAUAUUAGGUAGUUGCAUGUUUCAUAUCACCACCGAAACCCAUCAAAGCCUUGCCUUUCUGUGCAUCACUAACUUUCUUUAGUCCCAUUCUCCUGGUCGUUGGGUCUUUCUAAACUGCUGUUCUUUUCGCAGUGGGGCUGUCAAGGCUUUUACUUAUUUCAGUCCCAUUUUUCCUGGUCUUUGGGUCUUUCUAAACUACUGUUUCGGGCUCUUCGCAGUGGGGCUGUCAACGCUUUUAGAGCAGCUGCUCCAACCCUAUGACACCUCCCUCCAAACCCCUCUGUCAGCUCUCUCUUACUGCUGUUGUCUGUUCAUGUUGUUAAAAUGGUUGUCCACCCGCUG
ensembl:lncRNA